rnacentral:rRNA from 1 species
CCUACGGGAGGCAGCAGUAGGGAAUAUUGCUCAAUGGGGGAAACCCUGAAGCAGCAACGCCGCGUGGAGGAUGAAGGUUUUCGGAUUGUAAACUCCUUUUGUUAGAGAAGAUAAUGACGGUAUCUAACGAAUAAGCACCGGCUAACUCCGUGCCAGCAGCCGCGGUAAUACGUAGGGUGCAAGCGUUACUCGGAAUCACUGGGCGUAAAGAGCGCGUAGGCGGGAUAGCAAGUCAGAUGUGAAAUCCUAUGGCUUAACCAUAGAACUGCAUUUGAAACUGUUAUUCUAGAGUAUGGGAGAGGUAGGUGGAAUUCUUGGUGUAGGGGUAAAAUCCGUAGAGAUCAAGAGGAAUACUCAUUGCGAAGGCGACCUACUAGAACAUAACUGACGCUGAUGCGCGAAAGCGUGGGGAGCAAACAGGAUUAGAUACCCUUGUAGUC